rnacentral:lncRNA from 1 species
CUCUAUGGGUAGACCCUACAGCCACCGUUGAUUGCCGGAGAUUUCUCUCCGAUUUUUCCGUUGAAGCCACGGCCUCCUAUUCUUGUGCUCGCCGGAAAACAGAGGCCGAAGACACCGCCGGAGCUCAGGUAAGGCUCCAACCUUUCUUCCUCUCCUUCUUCCGUUUCCCCUCUGGCCCCAAUUAUCAUUGUCGGUCGCCGACUUUGCCAGAAAUCGAGAAGAAAAUGAUGCUCUAUUUUUCCUCUGUUCGGCCGAGCCAUCUCCCUCCCUUUUCC